rnacentral:rRNA from 1 species
UACGUAGGUGGCAAGCGUUGUCCGGAUUUACUGGGCGUAAAGGGAGCGUAGGCGGAUUUUUAAGUGGGAUGUGAAAUACCCGGGCUCAACCUGGGUGCUGCAUUCCAAACUGGAAGUCUAGAGUACAGGAGGGGAAAGCGGAAUUCCUAGUGUAGCGGUGAAAUGCGUAGAGAUUAGGAAGAACACCAGUGGCGAAGGCGGGUUUCUGGACUGUAACUGACGCUGAGGCUCGAAAGCGUGGGGAGCAAACAGG